ensembl:snoRNA SNORA75 Small nucleolar RNA SNORA75
CCAUCCUUAUUAAGGUAUAAUUGACAAAAACAGUAUAUAGAUUUACAUGAGAAGAAAAAGCAGUUCACAGAACUAGCAUUGCUUUACUUCUGUCUUUUCAGAGAUAUAUUUCUCUGUUUAGUGAGACAUCC